rnacentral:rRNA from 1 species
UACGUAGGGGGCAAGCGUUGUCCGGAUUUAUUGGGCGUAAAGAGCGUGUAGGCGGCCAGACAGGUCCGUUGUGAAAACUCGAGGCUCAACCUCGAGACGCCGAUGGAAACCGUCUGGCUAGAGUCCGGAAGAGGAGAGUGGAAUUCCUGGUGUAGCGGUGAAAUGCGCAGAUAUCAGGAAGAACACCCGUGGCUAAGGCGGCUCUCUAGUACGGUACUGACGCUGAGACGCGAAAGCGUGGGGAGCGAACAUG